rnacentral:lncRNA from 1 species
CGGGAAUCACGAGAGCAGAAGAUCGAGACCAUCCUGGCUAACACGAUGAAACCCCAUCUCUAAUAAAAAUACAAAAAAUUAACUGGGCAUCCUGGCAGACGCCUGUAGUCCCAGCUACUCGGGAGGCUGUGGCAGGAGAAUGGCGUGAACCCGGGGAGGCAGAGCUUGCGGUGAGCAGAGAUCACACAACUGCACUCCAGCCUGGGCAACAGAGCGAGACUCCAUCUCAAAAAAAAAAAAAAAAGACUUGGCUCCUCACUUGUAUUGUGGGAAUCCCAGCCUAAAUUGGACAUGUGGAUGUUGAGCAAUAGAGGACAGACAAACAAAGGAAUCUCCAGACCCUGCAGGACCCAAGGCAGCAGCCCACGAGUGGAUCCUAAAGGAUUUUCAUCAGCUGCAAGUCUGGGGUUACUAGAGCCUGACCAAAAUUCUCUACUGACCAGAGACAGACAGACAGACCUGUUCCCUGUUCCCCAACUUCCAGUGGUGCUGCGCAUGGAGACGCUGAGAUCCACAGAGUCAUCCCACCAAAA